AUUGAACGCUGGCGGCAGGCCUAACACCUGAACGUCGAACGAGUGGCGGACGGGUGAGUAAUGUAUGGGAAACUGCCUGAUUGCGGGGGAUAACUACUGGAAACGGUAGCUACUACCGCAUACCCUCAGAUGUGCCUAGAUGGGAUUAGCUCGUUGGUGGGGUAACGGAUAACCAAGGCGACGAUCACUAGCUGGUCUUAGAGGAUGACCAGCCACACGGUAACUGAGACACGGGCCAGACUCCUACGGGAGGCAGCAGUGGGGAAUAUUGCACAAUGGGCGCAAGCCUGAUGCAGCCAGGCCGAGAGUAUGAAGAAGGCCUUCGGGUUGUAAAGUACUGUCAGCGGGGAGGCGUUAACCGCAGAAGAAUCACGGGCUAACUCCGUGCCAGCAGCCGCGGUAAUUC
rnacentral:rRNA from 1 species